rnacentral:rRNA from 1 species
GACGAACGCUGGCGGCGUGCUUAACACAUGCAAGUCGAACGGAAAGGCCCUGCUUUUGUGGGGUGCUCGAGUGGCGAACGGGUGAGUAACACGUGAGUAACCUGCCCUUGACUUUGGGAUAACUUCAGGAAACUUGGGCUAAUACCGGAUAGGAGCUCCUGCUGCAUGGUGGGGGUGGGAAAGUUUCGGCGGUUGGGGAUGGACUCGCGGCUUAUCAGCUUGUUGGUGGGGUAGUGGCUUACCAAGGCUUUGACGGGUAGCCGGCCUGAGAGGGUGACCGGCCACAUUGGGAGUGAGAUACGGCCCAGACACAUACGGGAGGGAGGAGUGGGGAGUAAUGCAUAAUGAGCGGAAGCAUGAGGCAGCAACGCCGGGUGCGGGAGGAAGGCCUUCGGGUUGUAAGCAGCUUUCGCCUGUGACGAAGCGUAAGUGACGGUACUGGGGAAAGAAGCACCGGCUAACUACGU